AUGAACGCUGGCGGCGUGCCUAAUACAUGCAAGUCGAGCGAACAGACGAGUAUCUUUCUCCUCUUACGUUAUCGGCGGUCUGUUUAGUAACACGUUGUUAACCUACCUAUUAUUCUUUGUUAACUUCUGUAUACCUGUUCUUAUUCCGGUUUAUUUUUUUAACCUCUUUGUUCUAUUGUUACAUUCGUUUUUUCUUUUACUUUUUUAUUGUUCCCCGCCGCAUUAGCUAGUUGGUAAGGUAACGGCUUACCAAGGCAACGAUUCGUAGCCGACAUGAGAGGGGGAUCGGCAACACUGGAACUGAGACACGGUCCAGACACCUACGGGAGGCAGCAGUAGGGAAUAUUCCGCAAUGGGCGAAAGCCUGACGGAGCAACGCCGCGUGAGUGAUGAAGGUCUUCGGAUCGUAAAACACUGUUAUUAGGGAAGAAAAAAUGUGUAAGUAACUAUGCACGUCUUGACGGUAACUAAUCAGAAAGCCACGGCUAACUACGUG
rnacentral:rRNA from 1 species